AUAACACCUCGAAGGCGUGAAAUUAUGUCUAGAGAUAUUCUUGUUUGUAUAAUAUUGUAAUUCAUCGGCAGUCUUUGCCAUUUGAGCAUUCCGGGAAAGGAAAAGGCUUGGAUUAUGAAAGCAGAAGCCAACAACUUCUGAUGCAUGUUGAUUAUUCUCUCGCUUAAGAAUUGAUGGAAUGUCUGACGGUUUUCUUAAGACCCUUUCGCUCUGUCGAGCAAAACGUGCUAGUGUUAGAAUAUACAUUCUCAGAUUAGUAUUAAUUGUAGGAUGAAUGUUUUCACACAAAAGGAAAAGAUAUCUCUGAGCCAUUCCUCAUAUGCAGCAGUCUAUGAGUAGUUGGUGCCUCACUGAAGUCAUAAGUUACCAUAAUUAUUCGGUGGAAUAUUAUGUCUACUUUGCUCUUUUUUUCUGUGAAUGUUCCUAGUGUUAUUAUCUUUUUUUUUUUUUAUCAAAAUAAGCAUUAACAGUAAAAAUUUGCCCUCAGGCCUUAGCUCGGGUCUUGCCAGAAAGCUCUUGUUUUAAACUAAGCCGGCGCGGUUGUAACUACAAGAAGAGAUGGCUUCGACAUUAAACGCUCAGGCUGUUUCAUCUUUAGUUCAAGUUACCUUUGAUUGGCUGGCAAAGUAACUUCUGUGCAAGAAUUCCUGUGACUUCGUUCAUCUUUUCUCUUUGAAGAACUGUACAUCAAUGAUAUCGAUCAGAUUUUACCAAGAAAGAUAGAGCGAACAAGAAACUACACAACUGAUGCUGGAGCACAAAAUCCCAAUGUGAAACCGCAUUAAGCAAAAUCGUUAAAGGAAAGUGCUGCUCCUAGACAGUAAUUUCCUAAUGCAAGGAGUCUAUGGCCUUUCCAGUUUUAGGAUGAUGAGAGCCCAAUCUUUGUUGCAAUAAAAACUAUUGGCACCCAUUUUAAUCUUCACUGACGGCCACUCGCAGAUUUACUUUAAAAGAUCACAAGUCUAACUAUUUUAUAAAAGAACUUAAGGAAAAAUUAUAGAAAGACAUAGGAAUGGUUGAUGCAUCGGGGAGAAAUGCCUCUAUUUAUUGUCAGGUACGGAGCUGCAGCAAUUAGAAUUGUUACGCCAAGAGGCGGUGGAUCUCUCACAUUUCCGUGGCGGUUGCAACAAACUCCAGGAUGGGACCAAUUCAGUGGUAAAGGCCGGGGUCUUUUUGUUUCUGGGCCGCGUCCGUUAUGAAGAGUUAACUCUACCCAAAUUGACUUGUUUACUGGAAGUCUUAGACAGUCGUCUAGAGGGAACGAAGCCAUGCUCUUUACCAAGCCCUUCGUGUAUAAGACCUCUUUGUUUAAUGGAAUAAGGCAGACAGCAGUCAUGUGAUGGCGUCAUGGUCGACACGGGUUUUAUCUCACCUUUUAUCGUGGAGAUCAUCUAACGCUAAGACCGGUGUUUUGUUCAAAGAAGGCCGGUUGGGGAUACAUUGUGUUUGUAAAUGUCUAUGUGGAUCUUGGCUGGUAUGUUUGCAGUUACUUUUGAAUCGAGUUUGUUGGUCUUUGUUCUGAAAUGUAUAUGGCAGUGUACAUUGGUUAGCAGAAAUUAUCGCUUGCCGGAACUUGAAUAAUGUUGCAGGGACUUGUUUCUCUAUGAUGUGCUGAAUCUUCGUUUCUUUAAAAUUAUUGAAGAAAUCAUGGCCUUAUUUAUCCAGAACACUAAGUCUGAGCUCGGUUGUACGUCUGAAAGCACUUUUAGCGUCCAUUUAUGUGCUAUCAUUACCGCGAUUGAGCACAGAAGGGACUGAAUUAUAACCAGAAACCUUCCUUCCCCGGUUAGAGAGGCCUUCGAGUCUACAAACAAAGUUAACACUCCUGAUGUGAAGAGACGGGGUCACACUGCCAAACUGCCAUGGUUUGAAAAGCGCGAAACAGAGCUUGUAACUGUAACUGAAACUUGUGCCCAACAAGUGGGCAAGUUCAAGGGAAAAAAUCUGAACUUGGAAACGCAUUUGCGUAAGAAAGCUCCGAAGAGCUUGCUUCAAGAGGACAAACAACGAUCACAAACACGAAGAGUUAUUGUCGAAAGUUCAGACAGUCUUUGUGGAUAAUUGGUUUUUUAAGCUGUGGCUGAUGCUCUUCGAACUGAACGCUCUGUCGCUGGUCAGCGAAUUAAAUGUAAUGUUUAUCAUCUUUAAACGAUCCCUAGUAUUAAAUAGCAAGUUCGUGUUUGUUAUUGUAACCAGAAUUUGCUCAGGUAGUUUCAAGAGGUAUUUCAGGUUUAUUCUUACAAAAUUUUUAGAAGUCUCGAAAAAUGUAAUGCUAGAAACUGCAACAUGUUGUUAAAUACAAACAUUAACUGGUUAAGGAGAUUGAACCAUUUGCAAAACUUUUCAUGCAUUAGUUGGGGUAAAAAUGAAUGAAUCGACUUCU
rnacentral:lncRNA from 1 species